CACAGCAACACAAAUUCAAUAUUGCAAUGCUUCUCAAUUAAAACAGAAAACAUUUUAUGCAGCUGAAUUUGAAGCAAAUCUGCUCCCAGUGGUGCUGGAAACAAUCCUAAGGGAAGAAGGAACAAAAACUUUUUAUCCAGUUUAUAAACAAAAUGCUAAUGUUUUUCAUCUUUUGCCAUUUGUUCUAUUGAAAGACAAGUCAGUCAUUUAACAAAUAGAUUAAAUGAUGUGUCACAGCACCAAGGUCUCCUUGGCCAGAAACAGCAUCACCACAGCCAACCAGUGCUGCUUUUCUUCCCCAGUGUUCUUGUUAGAAGAUACAAGAGGGGUGCGAGAGCAUCUCUCAUCAUCUGGACUGUUCCACCUUCGCAAUACUGUUAGCAAGCAAACAUGAACAUCUGCUCCUGACGGCUGGAAAUCCUCCGCAGACACCUUCCAUUCAAGAUCAUCUUUCUUGCCAGACAAGUCACGUGAAUAAGGAGGACUGAGAGAGGCGUUGGAGAUGUUUCUAACACCGUUGAACAAGACUUUAAAUUACAGUGGAAAAUACCUCUUGAUCUCAGACAGAGCAGGUUUGAAUAACGAUCCUGAACUGAAGCCUGAUGAACCCAUUCAACACCAGUACUGACAACAGGGCAUGGCAAGUGGUACAGGCAGAAAAAAAGGCUCAGUGAGAUCACGCAGAAGGUUAAUAACCACGUCACCGUGGGACUGCCCAGCGUGCUGCCACCUCAACCAGCUGAGCCGAGGACAGACGCCCUGCCCGC